UGCCUACGGGAGGCAGCAGUGGGGAAUCUUCCACAAUGGACGAAAGUCUGUUGGAGCAACGCCGCGUGAGUGAAGAAGGGUUUCGGCUCGUAAAGCUCUGUUGGUAGUGAAGAAAGAUAGAGGUAGUAACUGGCCUUUAUUUGACGGUAAUUACUUAGAAAGUCACGGCUAACUACGUGCCAGCAGCCGCGGUAAUAAGUAGGUGGCAAGCGUUGUCCGGAUUUAUUGGGCGUAAAGCGAGUGCAGGCGGUU
rnacentral:rRNA from 1 species